UACAGAGGUGGCAAGCGUUGUUCGGAAUUACUGGGCGUAAAGGGCGCGUAGGCGGGCAGGUAAGUCCGUGGUGAAAUCUCUGAGCUUAACUCAGAAACUGCCAUGGAUACUAUUUGUCUUGAAUGUUGUGGAGGUAAGCGGAAUAUGUCAUGUAGCGGUGAAAUGCUUAGAUAUGACAUAGAACACCAAUUGCGAAGGCAGCUUACUACACAAAUAUUGACGCUGAGGCACGAAAGCGUGGGGAUCAAACAGG
rnacentral:rRNA from 1 species